GGCGCCUGACCCAGAGCACCAGAGCCGGACCCUGGGACUUGCCCUGCUCUUCUCUCUCUCUCUCUCUGCCUGUCUCUCUCUCUUUCUCUGUCUCUCUCUCUCUCUGCCCCACAUUCACCCAAUCACCAGAUCCUAGGGAGUCCACCCUCCUAGACUCUGUUGUGUCUUCCGUCCCACAUCUUCACCGACUCCCGCCAGGUUCCGGUUGUGCUGCCACUGCCGCGUCACCAGCCGUCCUGCCUCUCUGGUCCCUCCUCACCCAAACUCUGCUGGAAGGUGCUGUUCAACAUGACCAAGAUGCCAUCGCAGAAGAACUCUUGUCACAGUGGAUUCCUACCCAAAUUUACCGCCAGGAAAAAGUUAUUGGUUUUCGGGGUUUUUUUUGGUCUUGAGGGGAAGUUCUGAGGCGGCUGCUUGCUGCUGGCGGGAAGAAGAAAGCAGAGGACCUGCUGGAAUUGGGUUACGCAUGCGGCUGUCUCCCUGCACGCGGCAGCCGCACGCGCGGCGUCCGUGGACCCUGUAGCUCCCUUGGUGUCUUGGGAGGAACUUGUGGCGUUUUGCACCCACACCAGCCCUGCUCCCUGGAAGAGGAGGCGGAGCUGUGGUGAGGUUCCCAGGCCGCUGAACGGGGGGAGCACAGAGCCUCGCCCUGUGGAGGCCCAGCCUGUGCUGGGUACCAAGAGACGAGCGAUGGAUGGACACGGACGCCCAUGUCCACGUGGGCGGUAGCUGGCGGGGAGGGGGACCUGGCUUGCACAGCGCAUCCCUGGGUGCCGUGCUGGUGCAGCCCCUCCCAGGGUGCCCAGCCGCCCAAAGCCCAGGUCCUCACCUCCUCAUGGCGGGAGAGCGGGUCUCUGGGGAUGAGGGGACCCUCACAUUAGGCGGACACGCGGAGCGAUCGGCCACCGGUGGAAAUGCGCCUCCCACCUUGACGCUGAGGCUGCUCGGUUCUCAGCCAGAGAGAGGCCGGGUCCCCACUAGUGCCCGGUCCUCUGCCGGUGUGGCUCUCAGCUCAGGUUGCUGCUGUCUGCCAAGCUGAGCCCAGAAGUGUGGACCCAAACUUGACGCCCCCUUUCCCUCGUUCUUCCCGUCUGCUCGGCUUCAACCACGGAUGGAUCCUGCCUCCCGUGCCUCCUGGGCUGGGGCUUCAUCACGACUCCACUUCCCCGUCUUCUUCACCCCUGUCCCGGGGCUGAGCCUGGGGCCUGGCACGUGGUCACCCAGAAAAGUGAAGAUCAACAGCCGCGGCUACCCAGCCCACGAUGGAAACCCCACUGAGGCCGAGUUCUCUGGAAGGGCCUCCGAGCGCCCCGCAGGCUGCACCCGGAGAUGCUGGAGACAUCUGUCACCCUCUGGCUUCCCAGAAAACCGAACAGCACAGGCCGUUUCCCGUGGGUCUGAGUGAAAUUGUCACUGUGGCUGCUUCCUCGCAUCCCCCUUUUAUCAGCGUCUUUGUAGCUUUAUCCCUCGUUUCUCUCUGUGAUUUCUGGACGAGGUGCCACUCAGCUGGUUGUAUGCUAAAGCUGCUUCCAACCCUUCCCCUUAGAGCUGUUAUGACGGGAUUAAGGGCUUUCUCUCCUUUCACACAAUCAUUCAUUAAAAUGCUUUUUUG
ensembl:lncRNA